GAUGCCCCCUGGGAAUUGUAGUCCCCGUCGCCCUCCUUCCGGCUAGCGGGAUUCUAUAGAAGAGACGGAGCUCUAGGGCCGGCGACUAACGGAAAGGAAAGGAGAGAGAAUAGGUGACAUGACGAAGGGGCUGAAGACGAGAAGUUUCUACAGGAAUUGCGGCUUCCGGAGAGGGAACGCCAGAAACUCUAGGGUUGGGAAUGUGGGAGAGGAACGACUCUCUACGCUGACAGCGUGAAUUUCCUCCGGGUGUGCACGUCUGCGAUCACGUGAGCCGGCAUUUAAAGGGAAAGCUACGUCGUCACGUGAGGAGAGCGGCGGCCUCGUGGUUAAAAGAAACUGAGGCGAAGGAGAUCUUAUAGUUUCAGAGAGUAAGCGAUAGCCCUGACAACCGGAGAAGGCCCCUGGACAUCUAGUCUUCGGAGUCCUGCUCCCCAGGCUCAGAAGUCCGAGUCUGCAUCCAUGAGCUCUGCCUCCAUCAGCUUGGGGAACUGGAGACCGUGGAAAAAUGGAGUGCAGCGGCAGCAGAUGUGCCGUGGACUGGAAAGACUGGGGCAGAGCGCAGACGGACAGUCCAGGAGAGAGAGAGAAGCACCUCGGUCCUGGCCUGGCUGCCCCUAAGUAAGGCAGCCAGGUCAAAGCUGUGCCGCUGGAAAAGGCAUAAAAAGAGACUCGAGAACAGCGCUGCCCAAUAGAAAUAUAACAUGAGCCACAUAUACAUCAUCUCAAAUUUUCUAGUAGCCACAUUAAAAAAGUAAAAACACAAGUGAAACUAAUUUCAAUAUAUUUUAUAAACAAUAUAUCAUUGUUUAUUAUAUCAUCAUUUUAACAUGUAACCCAUAUAACAAUUAUUAAUGAGAUAGUUCACUUUUUUUGUGCUAAGUCUGAAAGGCAGUGUGUAUUUUGCAUUUAUGACACAUCUCAGUCUGGACUAGUUUCAACACAUGUGGCUGGUGGCUACCGUGUAGGACAGCACAGAUACAAAACAUAAAUCAGAGGCCCAGACCCUGCCAAAAAGAGGGAAAAGAGGUGGGUUGAACAGAAGGCUGACAGUGCAGGGGGAGGAAACUGAAGUUUACAACAAAAAUGAGCUAAGAAGAUACAGAGGCUUAUUGUGGAGGUGGCAGAUUGAGACAGGGAAAUUAGGGAACAGAGAAUCUGUGCAUGUUGUGAAAAGUGUGUGUGUGUGUGUGUG